rnacentral:lncRNA from 1 species
UGGUAUAUAACACUCAACUUCUCAUCUACCAUAUAUAAUGAAUAUGCAAAGUUAAAGCAGGAACAAGAAAAGGAUCUGAUUAACUCAACAGUAGCCUACAUUUGUGGUAACUUCAAUGGCAGUUGCACUCACAAUUUCUCAGGUUGUGUGGUAAAUCGUAAGUUGAAAUUGUCAUAGUACUCGAGAAUUAGUAUGUAUGUCAAGAAUUAACAUUUAUUUAUAGAUUAUGUUGUUGGGGAUGUGUUGUCCGCUUAACUAAAUUCUGAAAAUUUAUGAACUAGGUUCUUUCAAAUAAUUGUUUUUCUCAAAACUUAUGUGAGGACCUAAUCAUCAAAUGCCUCUCUUUUUAUUUGCCAAAAUAUCACUGUACUGCUUUUUGGAAGCUUUGAUCCUCAGAUACUUUCUCCUCAUCUUUUAGUGGCAUUUUAGAUUCUUCUUAAACCACAGUUGUAUUGCUUUCCUAUUCAUCAGGCAAAUCUGCACAAUGAAACAUGCAACGGUUCCAUAUGGUGUAGUAGCAUUUUAAAUUCUUCUUAAGCCACAUUUCUGUUGCUUUUCUAUUCUUCAGGCAAAUCUGCACAAUGAAGCACGCGAUGUUUCCGUAUGGUUUAGUAGCAUUUUAGACUCUUCUUACACCACAGUUCUGUUGCUUUUCUAUUCUUGGGGCAAAUCUGCACACAAUGAAACAUGGGAUCUUUCCAUAUGGUUUAGUAGCAUUUUAGAUUCUUCUUAAACGACAGUCGUGUUGCUUUUUCUAUUUUUUUCAGGCAAAAUUCAAAGUGUUGUUCUUUCAUUCUCCUUUCAGG